GACAGAGGGUGCAAACGUUGUUCGGAAUUACUGGGCGUAAAGCGCGUGUAGGCGGCUGCGCAAGUCGGAUGUGAAAUCCCGUGGCUCAACCACGGAAGUGCACCCGAAACUGCGUAGCUUGAGUCUCGGAGAGGAAGGUGGAAUGCUUGGUGUAGAGGUGAAAUUCGUAGAUAUCAAGCGGAACACCGGUGGCGAAGGCGGGUCUCUGGGCCGAUAUUGACGCUGAGGAGCGAAAGCGUGGGGAGCGAACAGG
rnacentral:rRNA from 1 species